CUGAGAGCCCCCCUUCCCCUCAUGACCACCUCUUCUGCCCUGCCCGGCCACUCCUUUGAGUGACAGGGGGUAAUUGAGAAGCUGCUCCUCCCUCCAGGAAGGAAGACCCGGAGCUCUGGCUUCCCUCGGCAAAGCACAUAUAAACCCACAGCCACUGUGGGUGGAAGGAGAAGGGCAGGGUGGAAAAAGCUUGAGAGAAGGAGGGAGGAAAAGGUGUCCUGGCUAGCACCAUGUGGAUUCUCUUGAGAUGAGAAGAAAAUGCCUGGCUACGUCCCCCUUCUGCUGCUCCUGCUUCUCCUGAGGUGUUCAGAACGGGGUGGGGGAGUUAAUUUUGGUGAGAAGGAUGCAAAAGUCCCCAGGACCUGGAGAGAUGGAGUCAGGGUCCCUGAAGAAGCCUCUUGGGACUCAGACAGGGCCAGUCCUGAGCGAAGGUACGGAAUAGUAGGACUAAGCCAAAGCAUUUCCACUAAGCACCCAGAGACCAGCCCUAAAGACUCAAGAAUAAGAGAAAACGAUGUAACUGCAGAUGGAAGGACCACUGAGGACCACAUCACUGCAGAACCAGGGACCACCGAGGACUCUGUCACUGCAGACCCAGGGACCACUGAGGACAAUGUGACUGCGGACCCAGGGACCACCGAGGGCUCUGUCACUGCAGACCCAGCGACCACCAAGGACUAUGUGUCUGCAGACCCAGGGACCACUAAGGAUUCCGUCACUGCAGACCCAGGGACCACCAAGGACUAUGUGACUGCAGUCCCAGGGACCACUGAGGACUCCAUCACUGCAGACCCAGGGACCACUGAGAACUUUGUCACUGCAGACCCAGGGACCACCAAGGACUCCAUCACUGCAGACCCAAGGACCACAGAGGACUCCGUCACUGCAGACCCAGGGACCACCAAACACUCCAUCACUGUAGACCCAGGGACCACUGAGGACUCUGUCACUGCAGACCCAGGGACCACCAAACACUCCAUCACUGCAGACCCAGGGACCACCAAGGACUCCGUCACUGCAGACCCAGGGACCACAGAAGAUGAAACCACUAAACAUGGUGACACUCACCUUCUGUGAACUACUUCAGUCACAGCAGUGAAACCCACCAGGCUCCUGACACCCAUGGGAAUUAUCCUCAUAUCCCUGGCUGCAACCACAGUCACUGUUGUGCUCUUUGUUGGAUUGGGCUUCAUUGUGAAAGAGUGUUUCCUGCCUCUAUUAAAUCCAUCCACCAGGGUUAUUUAUCAUCCCCAUGUCAUGGACUACAGUACACCAUAAAGAGGACCCCAGCAGUGACUACAGUUGGUUCUAGAAAAAGCAGACCCCUCAUCCGCCUCUGCAGGACUAUGCAGGGUGAUGUGCAUCCUCAGGCCUCCACUCCUCCGCCCCAGUCUGGAGCCCUGGGACCACCACAUGAGGAAGGCAGCUGGCCCCUGGAAUAAGCAUGUGGAGGACACUCAGAAGGAUGCCCAUCUGCUCUGAGUGUCUCCUAAUUCUGCCUGGCCUUGGUUACUUCCUCUGGACAAUCGCCUUUACCUAUCUACCAGGUUUUGAGGAAUUACACACAGCUCAGGUAUAAGAGAUAUUCGGUAAGUCUGAUCAAAUCAAUAAAGCAAAUUUUAUCUGUUUUUGUCUGGGACAUAUCUCUACAUUCAUUCAUUUAACC
rnacentral:lncRNA from 1 species